GACGAACGCUGGCGGCGUGCCUAAUACAUGCAAGUUGAGCGAUGAAGAUUGGUGCUUGCACCAAUUUGAAGAGCAGCGAACGGGUGAGUAACGCGUGGGGAAUCUGCCUUUGAGCGGGGGACAACAUUUGGAAACGAAUGCUAAUACCGCAUAACAACUUUAAACAUAAGUUUUAAGUUUGAAAGAUGCAAUUGCAUCACUCAAAGAUGAUCCCGCGUUGUAUUAGCUAGUUGGUGAGGUAAAGGCUCACCAAGGCGAUGAUACAUAGCCGACCUGAGAGGGUGAUCGGCCACAUUGGGACUGAGACACGGCCCAAACUACUACGGGAGGCAGCAGUAGGGAAUCUUCGGCAAUGGACGGAAGUCUGACCGAGCAACGCCGCGUGAGUGAAGAAGGUUUUCGGAUCGUAAAACUCUGUUGGUAGAGAAGAACGUUGGUGAGAGUGGAAAGCUCAUCAAGUGACGGUAACUACCCAGAAAGGGACGGCUAACUACGUG
rnacentral:rRNA from 1 species